rnacentral:tRNA from 1 species
AAGAAAGCUUGCAAGAGCUGCUAACUCAUGCCCCCGUAUUUAAACAUACGGCUUUCUUA